rnacentral:rRNA from 1 species
GAACGUGCGGAAGGAUCAUUG